UCGGGUCUCAAGUAUGACACAGACAUCAAGGCCAAGCUACCAUACCAACCGAUCGAAAGUCGAUCGAAAUGAGGGCAUUUUCCGCCCCUUGGAUGUUCCAGAUCAGCAACCUCAUGGUGGAGACUCAUGGAGAGUGCGGCCUACAUUGUGCCCCCUUAUCUUGAGAGCCCACCUCAGUCCCAACAACCAUCGAAUCCAUUGGUGAUAGGCACUCUCCCUCCCCCUAGAUUGCCUGUCGCAAUCUGGUAACAACAACCUCAUGGGCAAGGUCUUGUUCCUCCACCAAUGCAUCCAUGUGAGUAGGGUCCACACCCUUAAGAGGCACCAAGUCCCUCUCCAUUCCAAGUGUUGGAUUUUAGAUGGAUACAUGCAUGUAUUUUAAAAUUUUAUUAGAUCUAAUCUAAUUUUAGCAAAAAAUAAAUUCAGAUUAACACUAUUAUAAUCUAAUAUGCAUC
rnacentral:lncRNA from 1 species